rnacentral:misc_RNA from 1 species
CUGCAUUGUCUCACCGCCGCGGAAAUUCUUGGUCAGCACCAAGCUUGUCAGGUUGGGCAGGUGUUGCAAGACCUGCAAUGUCUAUGCCAGGUUGUGAAACUAUUCCUGGUCAGCGAGAGGAGCUAUAGCGCCACUCAGAUAGUUGGUUCCAACAUCAAAAGUAUUAAGCUUCGGCAGCAAGCUGGAGUCGAUAGCAAUCUCACCAGAGAGCGAGUAGUUCCUCAAGCUGAUUACCCUCAGCAGUGGACAACUUUACAGGGAAGCGGGCAACUCACCGUCCAGCCUAUUGGUGGCCAGGUUUACGGACUCUAGCCUCCUCAUCUCUCCAAAGACAUCAGGGAUGGAGCCUGUGAACUUGUUAUAGGACAAGUCAAGUUGCAUGAUCUGAGAGAGGUUACCAAGGUCACUGCCGAGGUUGCCAGUGAACAGAUUUUCAUGUAAGCUCACUCUCCUCAGGUUGGGCAACGUGUACAGGUCGUCGGGAUCCCGGUGAAAUAGUUGUCGUCGAGGGAGAGCUCUGUGAGCACCCUGCACCGACAUCAGAGAUGCAGGAUGUACAUC